GUACGAGGGUCAUCGUCAGAAGUCUCGUUUUAUUCUGUGGGAUUUUUCUGAAACAACACCCUUGGAGA
rnacentral:snoRNA from 1 species